GUAUCGCGCUCUUAGCGGAGAGUCCGCCACAUGAACUGAGACACGGCCCAUACCUCUACCGAGCAGCAGUAGGAUUUGCCGCAAUGACGAAAGUCUGACGCAGCGACAUCGCGUGAGGGAUGACGGCCUUCGGGUGUAAACCUCCUUUUGGGAGCCAUGAAGGCGCCCAGAUAAGCAACUACUAACUACGUGCCAGCAGUCGCGGUAAUACGUAGGUUGCAAGCGUUACCCGGUUUUAUUGGGCGUAAAGCGUCUGUAGGUUGUUUUUUAAGUCUUAUUUCAAAGCCUCCGGCUCAACCGGAGACAGGGGUAGGAUACUGGAAGACUAGAGUGAUAUCGGGGUUACUGGAAUUUAUAGUGUAGGGGUAAAAUCCGUGGAUACUAUAAAGAACACCAAGCGCGAAGGCGGGUAACUAGGUAUAUACUGACACUGAGAGACGAAAGCUAGGGUAGCAAAUCAGAUUAGAGACCUGAGUAGUCCUAGCCGUAAACAUUGUCUGUUAAUUCUUCCCUGUUUACAGGGUGGGAUGCAAGCUAACGCGUUAAACAGACCGCCUGGGGAGUAUAGCCGCAAGGCCGAAACUCAAACGAAUUGGCGGGGAGGCGCACAACCAGUGGAGCAUGUGGUUUAAUUCGAUACGAAGCGAUAAACCUUACCCGGGUUUGAAAUGUACCUGCAAAUCUCCAGAAACGGAGACUCUUUCGAAGGUGGUACACAGCUGUUGCAUGGCUGUCGUCAGCUCGUGACGUGAGUUGUUCUCUUAAGUGAGGUAACGAGCGCAACCCCUAUCGUAUGUUACUGUGUCAUACGAGACUGCCUAGCAUUAUUUUGUUAGGAGGAAGGAAGGGACGACGUCAAGUCAUCAUGAUGCUUAUAUCCGGGGCUACACACAUCCUACAAUGGAUUGUACAGAGAGUUGCAAUACCGCAAGGUGGAGCUAAUCUUUAAACAAUCCUCAGUUGGGAUCGCAGGCUGAAACUCGUCUGCGUGAACUUGGAAUUGGUAGUAAUCGCAAAUCAGCAGAUUGCGUGAAUACGUUCUCGCCUCCUGCACACACUGCCCGUCAAUCAAAAAAGUUGGGGGUACCCAAGUCCUGCUCUGCAGACCAAGUAAAUCAGCGAUGAGGUAGUCGUACAGUAACAAGGCCGAUCGUAACUGCAGAACAGUCCUAGGAGCUAAUGCAAACGACGUAUCAUGGGUCCAUAGCGUGUCUCCCUGUAGU
rnacentral:rRNA from 1 species